CAUAGAGGAAAGUUACUAAAAAUCUUCCAGAGAGAAAACGCAGGUCACAUGAAAAGGAGCAAAGGUCAGAGUGGUACCAUGCUCCUCAGCCAUACUGGAAGACAGUGGAGGAAUGCUUUCAAAUUAUUACCUAUAAUUUUAGGAAUUAGCCAAAAUUGUGAAUUCACUAAAGAAACUACUGGAGGAUGUGGUGCACCAAAACGAGAGAAUAAACUAAGAAACAGGAAGACAUGUGGUCCUAGAAACAGGAUAUUCAACAUAGGUGAGAAAUGAAGAGAAUCCCCAAGAUGAUGACGAAGGGAAAUCCUAGGGUGACAGACGGCCUGGCUUAGAGAGUGAUCAGUCAGGAUUGGGGCAGGAGGACAGAAGGCACCAGAAUGGAUGUCCCCAAGAAAUAAAAUGAGAUGAAUAGAGGAAAAAUGUACACUUUUGGUGAUAGUGGAGAAUAAAUUCAUUAUAGGGACAUGGAAAACUAAACAAAUAAAAACCAAUUUGUUAUUAAUAAUUCUAAAAAAUUGAUUU